rnacentral:rRNA from 1 species
UGGGGAAUUUUGGACAAUGGGCGAAAGCCUGAUCCAGCAAUGCCGCGUGUGUGAAGAAGGCCUUCGGGUUGUAAAGCACUUUUGUCCGGAAAGAAAUCCUUGGCUCUAAGUACAGUCGGGGGAUGACGGUACCGGAAGAAUAAGCACCGGCUAACUACGUGCCAGCAGCCGCGGUAAUACGUAGGGUGCAAGCGUUAAUCGGAAUUACUGGGCGUAAAGCGUGCGCAGGCGGUUUGCUAAGACCGAUGUGAAAUCCCCGGGCUCAACCUGGGAACUGCAUUGGUGACUGGCAGGCUAGAGUAUGGCAGAGGGGGUAGAAUUCCACGUGUGAGCAGUGAAAUGCGUAGAGAUGUGGAGGAAUACCGAUGGCGAAGGCAGCCCCUGGCCAAUACUGACGCUCAUGCACGAAAGCGU